AACGCUAGCUACAGGCUUAACACAUGCAAGUCGAGGGGAAACGACAUCGAAAGCUUGCUUUUGAUGGGCGUCGACCGGCGCACGGGUGAGUAACGCGUAUCCAAUCUGCCCACCACUUGGGGAUAACCUUGCGAAAGUAAGACUAAUACCCAAUGACGUCUCUAGAAGACAUCUGAAAGAGAUUAAAGAUUUAUCGGUGAUGGAUGGGGAUGCGUCUGAUUAGCUUGUUGGCGGGGUAACGGCCCACCAAGGCGACGAUCAGUAGGGGUUCUGAGAGGAAGGUCCCCCACAUUGGAACUGAGACACGGUCCAAACUCCUACGGGAGGCAGCAGUGAGGAAUAUUGGUCAAUGGACGAGAGUCUGAACCAGCCAAGUAGCGUGCAGAAUGACGGCCCUAUGGGUUGUAAACUGCUUUUAUAAGGGAAUAAAGUGAGCCUCGUGAGGCUUUUCGCAUGUACCUUAUGAAUAAGGACCGGCUAAUUCCGUGCCAGCAGCCGCGGUAAUACGGAAGGUCCGGGCGUUAUCCGGAUUUAUUGGGUUUAAAGGGAGCGUAGGCCGGAGAUUAAGCGUGUUGUGAAAUGUAGGCGCUCAACGUCUGCACUGCAGCGCGAACUGGUUUCCUUGAGUACGCACAAAGUGGGCGGAAUUCGUGGUGUAGCGGUGAAAUGCUUAGAUAUCACGAAGAACUCCGAUUG
rnacentral:rRNA from 1 species